rnacentral:rRNA from 1 species
UACAGAGGGGGCGAGCGUUGUUCGGAAUCACUGGGUGUAAAGGGUGCGUAGGCGGUCAGUUAAGUCUGAUGUGAAAGCCCUCGGCUCAACUGGGGAAUGGCAUUGGAAACUAGCUGGCUGGAGUAUCGGAGAGGGAAGCGGAAUUCCUGGUGUAGCGGUGAAAUGCGUAGAUACCAGGAGGAACACCGGUGGCGAAGGCGGGUCUCUGGGCCACUACUGACGCUGAGGAGCGAAAGCGUGGGGAGCGAACAGG